AGCACCCGUCUGUGUCAAGUGGCUCAUAACCACCUCUAACUCUAGCUCUAGAGGAUCUGCUGCCUGUGGCCUCCUCAGGAACCUGCAGUACACAAUUGAAAAGAAUCUUCUUUUAAAGAGCUGAUGAUGCACAUGUGCACAUGUGUGAGGCUGCGUGUACCUGCACAUGACCAUGUGGAAGACACCGAGUCUCUGCCUUGAUUGCUCCCACCUUAUCCGCUCCACACAGCACUGAGUAUGGAACUCUCCCCCUUCUAGGCUGGGCUGGAGGUCAGCCAGCCCCGGAGGCCCGCCUGCCAACAGAUCAGCAUGAGACACAUCGUUCCCCAUCAGCUCUGAGAUCACAACACAGGCAGAAAUACCUGGCUUUUUACAACGAGUUCAGGUCCUUGACAUUUGUGCAGUAAGAACGUUUACUAGCUCACUGUAGCUCACCUGAUCCUAAAACAUCCUGCAAUAACUACCAUACACGUACACCUUUAUCAUAUCCAAGAAAAAGGUAUUUUUGAGACAAAAAGUCUCAAAUUUUAGCAUCAAAUAUUCCAUUAAUUAUCUUUAAGAUGUUUGGUAGGUUAUUUAAAUUGCUGGAGAUUCACCUCAAGAGAAAUCUAAAAUUCUUACAGAAAUACUGACUCCACCCAGACUCACCAUGGCAUGCACCUACCCACUCAUCCCCACUCCCAAACUAAAUAAAUAACAAACAGGAAACAGAGUCUACAGCCAUGUUAACUGGCUUAUAACGAAGAUAAUACUGCAAUGCAAUUGGAAAAGAAGAGUCUUAAAAAGAUGUUAGGUGACUAGGGGAUCUCUACCGAAAACAAUGUACCGUGACCCUUAACCCCACACUAUUCACAAAAGUAAAUCCCAGGGAUCAGCAAGAUGAUUCGCUGGGUUAGGGCACCUGCUGCCGAGUCUGAGGACGAGUUUGGUCCUGGGAAUCCUCCUGGUGGAAGGAGAGGACGGACUCUGCACGCGUCUAUGUGCGCAUCAUCUCCCCCACUCCUGCCUCUAACUAAACGUUUGAAAAGAAGAAAAUUCCAAGUGGAAUACAGAGCUAAGUGUUGGUGGGGGGGGGGGUUGUACAUCAAAACAUCUGUGUACAUAACCAAAUGUAACGUCUACCCUUCCCUUCCUCUUUUUGUGUUCUUGAGACAGGAUCUCUUUGCACCUGCAAUCUUUCUGGCCUCCGCUUCCCAAGUGCUGAGAUCUGCCCCAUCAUGCACGACUUAGGAAACACUUUCCAAACAAACAAGAAGCACCAAUGAUGGCAACUGAACUGCGUUAAAUCUGCCAACAAAAACAAACUCAGUGUGCUGAGUCAAUUUUUCCGCGAUGGCAGGAUUAAUAUUCUGAAAAUAUUUAUGCUACUUAAUUUGUAGAACCAAUGAAGAUAUCUACCAAAAUUUCUGUGUCAUAUUUCACAGGUUUAGAGAAAAUACAAGAAUUCCUAGAGAACCAUGAACAUUACUAGGAGUAUUAUAAAACACGCCUCAAAUUAUACUACAGCACUGUAGUAAUGAAGAAAGCCUGGGACUGGCAGAUUAGACGGGCAGACCUGGAAAUAGACGACAAAGCCAAACCAAGUCCAUUUUCUGACAAAGGACAAAAACAAACUCUGGAAAAGGAACCUGCUCAACAAAUGGUGCUGGUGAAAUUGGGUUUCUACAGAAGAUGAAAUUAGACUUGUAUCUUUCAUCUUGUACAAAAAAAAAUCAACUCAAAAUGGAUCAAAGAUCUUAAGACCAGAAACACUGAAAACUUCUGAAGAAAACAUGGCAUACCCUCUAAGAAACUGGGUUACCUAAAUAGAACACUAGACACAGAUACAGCACAGGGUCUAUCCCCAGAUGGGACUCGAUGAACACAGACAGCCCACACCAUGGGAGAAAAUCGUUUCUCAGUGUAACAGUCUUAGCUGUCCUGGAAUUCGCUUUGUAGACCUUGAACUCACAGAGAUCUUCCUGCCUCUGCCUCCCAAGCACUAGGAUUAAAGGCAUGCGCCACCACCACCUGGCUGGAAGAAAAUCUUUACCAGCCACAUUUCAGACAGGGGACUGAUAACCAGAACUUAGAAAGAAUUGUAGAGAUUGAAUACUAUGGAAAUAAAAUUAUCAGUCAACAAAGGGGCAAGU